rnacentral:rRNA from 1 species
GAUGAACGCUGGCGGCGUGCCUAAUACAUGCAAGUCGAGCGAACAGAUGAGGAGCUUGCUCCUCUGACGUUAGCGGCGGACGGGUGAGUAACACGUGGAUAACCUACCUAUAAGACUGAGAUAACUACGGGAAACCGGAGCUAAUACCGGAUAAUAUAUUGAACCGCAUGGUUCAAUAGUGAAAGACGGUUUUGCUGUCACUUAUAGAUGGAUCCGCGCCGCAUUAGCUAGUUGGUAAGGUAACGGCUUACCAAGGCAACGAUGCGUAGCCGACCUGAGAGGGUGAUCGGCCACACUGGAACUGAGACACGGUCCAGACUCCUACGGGAGGCAGCAGUAGGGAAUCUUCCGCAAUGGGCGAAAGCCUGACGGAGCAACGCCGCGUGAGUGAUGAAGGUCUUCGGAUCGUAAAACUCUGUUAUUAGGGAAGAACAAAUGUGUAAGUAACUAUGCACGUCUUGACGGUACCUAAUCAGAAAGCCACGGCUAACUACGUG